rnacentral:rRNA from 1 species
UACGUAGGGGGCAAGCGUUGUCCGGAAUUAUUGGGCGUAAAGCGCGCGCAGGCGGUCCUUUAAGUCUGAUGUGAAAGCCCACGGCUCAACCGUGGAGGGUCAUUGGAAACUGGGGGACUUGAGUACAGAAGAGGAAAGCGGAAUUCCACGUGUAGCGGUGAAAUGCGUAGAGAUGUGGAGGAACACCAGUGGCGAAGGCGGCUUUCUGGUCUGUAACUGACGCUGGGGCGCGAAAGCGUGGGGAGCGAACAGG